rnacentral:rRNA from 1 species
CAGCAGCCGCGGUAAUACGGAGGGUGCAAGCGUUGUCCGGAUUUAUUGGGUUUAAAGGGUGCGUAGGCGGCCUAAUAAGUCAGUGGUGAAAGCCUCCAGCUUAACUGGAGAACUGCCAUUGAUACUGUUAGGCUUGAGUAUACUUGAGGUAGGCGGAAUUGACAGUGUAGCGGUGAAAUGCAUAGAUAUUGUCAAGAACACCAAUUGCGAAGGCAGCUUACUAAAUUAUAACUGACGCUGAGGCACGAAAGUGUGGGUAUCAAACAGGAUUAGAUACCCGAGUAGUCCCUGUCUCUUAUAA